rnacentral:lncRNA from 1 species
UUUGAUAAGAAGGAGGAAGGAGGAGAAAGGAGGAAGAACGAGGACGAUCAACUUCUUCUUGAAGCCUUGCGACCACCCCUGGAUUUAAAGGAAUUACAGAUACGGUACUACCAAGGCAACACUGUUUCCCCAGCUGGAUGACGUCAUUAAUCAAUUUAAGGAGUUUAGAUCCCUCUUUGUGCGAAAAUUGCGAGCAGCUGUCUCCUUUGGGAAAAUUGCCGUCCGUCCUUUGAAAAACUCAGCCUAUUGCACAUGCGGAGUGUGAAAAGAGUGGGUGAUGAAUGUUUGGGGAUAGAAAGUGAUCAUCGUGGCUCAUCUUCAUCUUCAUUAGUUAUUAUUGCCUUCCCUAAAUUGAAAUCACUCACAAUUUCUACAAUAAUGGAAUUGGAGGAGUGGGAUUAUGGGAUUACAAGAACGGGAAACACCGUCAUCAACAUCAUGCCACGUCUUUCUUCCUUGGAAAUUGUUGCCUGCCCCAACUUAAAGGCACUGCCCGACCACAUUCAUCAAACGACAACAUUGAAGGAAUUGCGCAUUGUGCAUUGUGGGCUUCUGGAAGAACGUUACCGCACGGGGGAAGGAGAAGACUGGCCAAAGAUAUCUCACAUUCCCAACCUCGAGAUUUGGCCUUGACAAGUAAUUCCUUCUCUUACUCUGAUUUGCUUUGUUGUUCUUUUUAAUCUAAUCAAGAAGCAUAAAUAGCAUUUUGAAUUAAACUCUAUAUCAGAAAUCUGCAAUACAUAUUUUCUAAUAUUCUGAUUUUCAUAUCUUAUGAAUGUACGAUUCUAAUUUGCAAUAUUUAACGUUGCUGUAAAAUAUUAUUAAUGCAAUAUGAGUAAUUCUUUUGCAGGACAAGUGACCUACGUUUAGUUUGGCUUUGGAGUUGAGUAAUAACCUUUCGAGGUCGCCACUAUAAAAAAGCGAAGCUCAAUUUGCCACAGAUUACAUGUAUUGCCAUCAUUGACAAUUUUCUGGAUAAGUGAUGAAGGGUGAGAAUGGUGCUAGAAUAUUGAAUAAAGCUGUCGUGACAGAACUUUGGUUGAUGUCAAAAGGGGUAAAUUAUUGGCAUGCCUAGCUAAUUUGACCAAUACCUGAUUCAUAAGCCCACAUCAAUUUUGAUUUUGAGUUGAGUGAUUAAUUUUGAAGGUUUGCUUACUUAACUGGUAACCAAUUUCUUUUAACUAAAUGUAUCAUAUGAUGCAGGAAGCAGGGCAUGAUAUGAAAUGAGAAGCUUAUUAGUGGAAGGAUUGUCAGAAACAGAACCCAAAGAAAAUGAAAACAUUUCGAGGCAGCAGUUGGCAGUUGGCCGUGAAUGGAGCCCAUUGAAAAAAUUCCAAACCCAUUGCACUGCAAUUACGAUCGUGAGUAUGAUUGCACUGCAAUUUCGAAGCUUCUUCUCCUCCAUUUUUGUUAUUUGAUAUCAAGUGACAUCCGUAAGUAUGAUUGCAUUAAGCUGCUGCUGGGAAAUAUGAGGUUUUGAUGGCUGCCCAUGCUAUUGUCAGAAGCUGCGGUUCUUUUCAUCAGCCUGAACCUGGACCUGUCGCCAUGGAUAACUCAGGUUUUUUUUUUUUAAUCAACUACGUCAUCUUUUCCACUGUUUUGAAACCCUUAAGAUUAAACUUUAUUAAAGUUGUUUUAGUUAUCCAUGUAAUCAGGCUGAGGAUACUUAGCUGCCUAUUUAGGCAAAUGUCAGAAUUUAGUUUGUUCGCUGGGAACUGGUGUGGUGACAGCGUCCUGGCAAAGGAUGAUGAGAUAGUUUUUUGAUUGAAUAAAUUUUGGGAGCUUGAGUGUAUUGGGAUUUGCAAUUACAAUCAUCCUCUGCUUCAGGUGAUUUCUUCUCUUGCUCUGUCAUUGUUUGUUCUCUAAUUCAAAAGCAUAAAAUAUUUCAAUCAAUUUUUAUACCAGGAAUAUGCGAAAGUUUCUAAUAUUUUAUUUCCAUCUGUUUGCAUUGAUAACUUUGCGGCAUAUGUACUACUUAAAGAACAAUAGAAACAGAGCUCAGUUAAAAGUUUCUUCUGCCAUCAUAUUUGAAAAAUGAACCCAUUUCCAGGAAGCAAUUAACAGCAAAUUCAUAUAAAGUGUGGACAAUGAUGACAAAAGGGUGAUUAACAAUUUCAUUUUUUAUGAAAUUAAUCGUCUGGUUGGAGCUGAUAUUGUUAGAAGGCCAUUGAGCUAACCUAUGUCACUACUUGCCUAGAUUGCAGGGGGUCAAAACUCAAAAGAGGCAUUGAAUUUUUAAAGGCAUCCAACAAUUCUUGUGGCCAUAUAUCAAUUCAUGUAAGUUUGAAUGCAAUUAUUGGUGAAGUGGUUUCACUUCCUGUCUCUGAAUAAAAAUACUGAUUCUUUAAGGUACAUGGCACUAGGGAUUGCGAUAUUAACGAGUCUUCGAGCAUUGGAAGAGCUCCAUGUGAGUGGAGGAGGAGGUGUUGAUGGUAGCAAAGCAUGUGGGCAGUGGGCUUGAAUCUCUUAAAAACUUGGAACUCCUCCAAGCGUAAGUAUCCGUAUACUGGGAAAUGUGUUAGAUGUGGAUGAGGCUAAGAGAUUAGAGCUUGACAAAAUGAAAUACCUCUUUCGUUGAGACUUAAAUUUGAUGGGGAAGAAGAAAAAGAAGAGGGAAGGAGGAAGAAUGAGGAUAAUCAACUUGUUCUUGAAGCCUUGCAACCACCUCUGAAUUUGAAGGAAUUAGAGAUUUGGUCAUACAGAGGCAACAUUGCUUCCCCCAGGAUGAUGCAAAAAUUGAAGGAAUUUACCAAUCUAAGGAGUUUGAUACUGUAAAAACUGCAAAAACUUGAGAGCAGUUGCCUCCUUUGGGAAAAUUGUGAUCCUUUGAAAAUCUCAGCAUAUUGUACAUGGAGAGUGUGAGAACAGUGGGUAAUGAAUUUCUGGGAAUAGAAAGUGAUCUUCAUGACUCAUCUUCAUCUUCAUCAGUUAUUAUUGCCUUCCCCAAAUUGAAAUCACUUUCAGUUGAGGGAUUGAUGGAAUUGGAGGAGUGGGAUUAUGGGAUUAAAAGAACAGGAAACACCUUCACCAACAUUAUGCCACGUCUUUCUUCCUUGGAAAUUAGUGUGGGGUUAUGGGAUCGCACAACGACGUUGAAGGUAUUGCAGAUUGUGGCAUGUGGUACUCUAAGAAGACGUUACAGACAGGGUAGAGCAGAAGACUGGCCUAAGUUCUCUCACAUUCCAGACAUCAUGAUUGUGUGAAAAGAUGCCCUUGACAAAAUUCUCUAGGCGGCUACAUGGAGUACAAUCAUAAAAUGCUAAUGUGGCCACCCUGGUUCUUAAUUAAGGUUGUGAAAUAUUAUUGUAAAAGAUGAUUAAUUCAAUUUGAGUCAUUCGUUUGCUUUGAUAAUGAUAGUAAUUUUAUAUUUUGACAAUUUGCAAGGUGAGAAUGGUGCUGAUUGGUGAUACAGGAUAUGGUUCAAACACCAUUGAAUAAAGCUACGGACAUGGUGGCUCAACUUAGCUAGACUGCUGUCAAAAUUGGUAAGUUGGCUUGUCAAUGUAUUGAUGCUUUUGUUUUCUCUCAACCCUAAUUACCUUACCUUCAUUUAGUUUGGCUUUGGAGUUGAGUAAUAACUUUCAAGGUUCUCAAACAGAGCAGGACAACCGAAAAAAAAUAGCUUAAUUUGCUGCAGAUCACGUGUUACCAAUUAUUUAAGGUAAUUCUCGUUUACUUGCUUCUACACUAUAGAGUACGUGUUCUGGCUGGUUUAUCUAAUUCAUCAAAUGUUAUUUCCUUAUUGUUCCAUUGAUAUAUUUGUUAGAAAAUGAAACCAUUUCCAGGCAGCAGUUGGCAGUGAAUUCAUGCAAAUGUUGAUGCCAUUCAUAGAUAUUGAAGAUAAUGAUGAGCCAAAGGUGAUAAAUCAUUAAUGCAUAGUUACCAAAACCUCCAUCCUUCUCUCAUUGUAAUUUGAUUUGAAAUGAAUAAUUGCUAGGUAAUUGAAGCCAAUAUUGUUAGAAACGGUGUUGAGCUACCCAAGCUAAGAAGUUAGCUGCCAAAAAAUGCAGGGGAUCAAAAGAAGCAUUGCAGUGCUACAAUGCUGCUACUGGGAAAUUUAAAUCCCAUAUUAGACUUUCCUCACAUCAGAAGCUGUGGAUCUUCGGACAUCAGGUUUUUUCACAGUUCUUAAACUCUCAGGAUUAAACUCUAUUAAAGUUGUUGUAGUUGUCUACGUUCUCAGGUCAAGGAUUCUAAGCUGCCGAUUAAGGCAAAAUAUCAGAAUUCCCCUAUUAUUAUUUUUUUUCAUGUAAAUUUAUGUUGUUGUCUUCGCCCAUGAAUCUUAGCAAAAUUCUGAACCAAUUGUUUGCUAUUAUAAAUUUCAUUGUUAAAUAUUAAUUGUGAUGUUGGUGUUGAGUUUCUUUUAAAGUCACAGAAGCCUGACGAUUGAGUUCCGUGGGACUCUGAGAAGCAGUAAUAUUUUGAACAAGUGAAGGUUCUUCGUUUUUAAUUAUGUUCUGCACUUUUACAGUAUGUGCAGAUGUCUAAGAGGCAGGAUUUUAAUUUCUGUAAUGCUAAAUUUCGCAAAACAAUAAAAAAAAUAAAUGCAUGACAGUGACUUCAAGAAUUUAGAUUAUUGAAUUUGGCCAUUUCAAAAUUGAACCAGAGCUCAGAAAUGUAGAAUAUAAAUAUUGGAGAUUUGAACUUCAAUCAUUAGAUUUGAAGCUAAAGAGGUAAGCCAUUAAUUACAUCAAAUGAUUUGGAAAAUGGAGGAAUUGGAAAAAGGAAACUUUUUCUUUGUCCGAUUCAAGGGGAACGUCACAGAGAGGGGUAAAGAGAAGAGUAGCCUAAGAUAUUAAAGACAAUGUUGAGGCAAAGGAAACAUAAAUCCCAACCAUUGCAUGUGAGCAUGAUCACAAUAAAUCCCAACCAUCCAAACCAUUUUUUUGAGAAUUUUCAAUUGAAAGUGAAACCUUUUGACAUUUACCUAAUAAAGUAAGUUAAACGAGAGAAAUAAAGGGGGGAAAAAAAGUUGACUCAAGUCAAUACAGAAUUAUUAGUUCAACCUGGAGAAACUAAAACAGAGACACUAUAUUUUCAAAAAUAUCUGCAUUCAUCACCUUCUCCAACAGCUAAUGAGCUACACACGAAUCAUUUCCUUUUAGCAUUUUUGCAGCAUCAAUUUAUCCCCUCGUUUGUCAUCAGUUUCUCCCUUCGUUUCACCAAUACCAUGGCUGAUGCAAUCCUUUCCCCUCUCUUGGAGCAGCUGAUUAUCUUCGCUGCUGAAGAGAUGAGACAACAGGGGAAGCUGGUGAGUGUUGGAUGAGCGGAUCACAGCAUGCGCCAAAUUGCAAAUUGAGAGCGGCAUUGAUGACAAUGCUCUUGGUGCUCCUUAUCUGAAGAAGAAGGUAUAUUCCUGCUUUCCUGCUUCUUGCUUUGGUUUCAAACAAGUCUUUCACUGUCAUAACAUUUAUUGUAAUUUCAUUUGGAGAUAUGUAAUAUCUGUUGUCCAGAUAUAUUUCAUACACCAGCUGCUAAUAAUUCUGCUUGAAGAGAACUUGCAAAGGAGCUGUGUGAUGUAAUAGAAGACUAUAGUCUGGUCAAUUUUUUCAACCUUAGAUAUUAGGAAGUUAUGUAUUUCAUUAUCAGUUAUCAUUAUGAUUCUUAUCUUCAAAAAGAUAAAUGGAUGGCUUUGAAUGGCUUGUGUUUGAGGAUUUUAGUUGGACUUAUUUUGAUUGAAGUACUUUUUGACAAUAGAAUUCCUUCAUGAUUUAAACAUUCUUUUUAAAAUCAAAUAAUCAAAAAAAUUAAAUAAAUAAAUAGAGUAACUAACAAAUAUGAUUUUAUUUUGUUAGUGUUUUUCUCAUCAAAUAUACAUAAGAGUACUGUAAUUAAUUGCAACCAAUUUUUCACUAAAUACGCCUACAACAAACUAUUAAUAAUAAAGUGAUAGAAAAAUGCCUAAUUUUUCAUACUUUCUAAUUUCUUUUGGCCCUAAAAUAUAGGUAUUUAUGUCAUAAUAAGCCCAUGUGGAUCUCAAUGCCGAAAGUUCGAUAAAUGGCUUUCAAGGAUUACUUAUUAAGGUGGCGUUUGUUUUUUAACUUAAUGACUUAAAGUGACUUAACUUAAUUAAUUAAGUUAAUUAGAGGUGUUUGUUUUUAUAACUUAAUGAAACUUUUUAGAUAAUUUUGACUUAAUAAAAUAAGCUAAUUUUUUUGGCUUUUUACUUAAUUGAGAAAUAUGAAUUAAGUCAAUUACUUGCUAAUGUCAAAAAUAUCCCUGUUUUAUAAUUUAUUUUUCAUGUCUAUCCCAAAACUCACCCAUAGAUAAUUACCCCACAUAAAAAUAUCCCUAUUUUUUCUUUUUUAUAUUAUAUACGAUAAAAUUUAAAAUUUAUGGUAUUUUAUAUAUUAAAAUUCCAAAAUAAUUAUGUAUUCACUUGAAUAUAGUUUUACUUAUAAAUGUUAAAAUAUUGUGGUAUUUAAUAUAUUAUUUAUUUAACAUUCAAAUUUAAUAAGGAUACAAAUGUAAAAGUACAUAUUUUCAGCUUUUUAAGCUGAAAAAACAAACAACUUAAUACUUAUUUUUCGAGAUUCAGACGAAAAAACAAACAUAUUAUUCAGAUUCAGAUAUUCAGACCUAUUCAGAAUUCAGACUAAUUCAGGUCUACUCAGAUUUCAGAUAAACAAAACAAAUGCCACCUAAGUAAAAAAUAAUUCAAAGGACAAAAUGGUAAAACUAGAAGGGUGGAGUAAUAUGGCUACCUUGGGUUACAUAGUAAGUUGACUACAUUCAAAGUAUAAAAUAUUAGAAACUGAACGGUGGAGUAAUCGUCGUUUAGAUGAAUGAUAUGUCUAAGACGUUGCAUGCAUCAAGAAAAUUGCAGAUGAUUAAACCUUGCCAUCUAUGCGUUGUAUGAGGUUAUAGCAACUAUCUAUCUGGUCACCGUUUUCAAGUCUCAAUUGGUAGUCCAAAGAAAAGAAUGAUUUUGCAAUAGCAUUAAGUGUUAAUUGGACACAAAAGGAAGUGUUUUAACCACUUUAAGGAAAGUAAAUGUAAUUUUCUGUCCUAAAGAAAAGGUAAAUGUAUGCACUUUCAAUUAAUCUUUGGUCGACCAGCAACAUCAUAAUUUCGUUUAGGUUCAUUUUUGUUUCUUAGAGUUUGUAAAAAGAAUGGAAAGAUUUUAAAAUAUAAAUUUCAUAUCUGUUUAUUACUGUUGUUUGGUCUAAUUUCUUAUGUAGAAUUUUCAGAAUCUGUAGGACAUUAGUUUAUAAUUUUGAGAUUUUGCAGCCAUAAAUGUAUUUUUCUUUUUUUGUUGCCAUUUUAUUUUGCUCCUUUAUCUAUGUGCAUGUUGACUGGCUGCAGUGAGUGAAAAUUUACCUAUAUAUGCUGGCUAUUCUUGGACAAUAUUAGAGAAAAUAAUCAUAUUAUUUCGCGUGAUGUGAACUUCCAUAACUUAUCAAUUGAAUUGCUGUAAAAUAUUAAAUAGUUUUAUUUUUCUUUUAUCGUGUAACUUGGACCAAAAAAGGAAAUGAGUUUAACAUGACCCUCAUUCCGGCACUAUGCCUGUUUUUCUUGUAUUGAUGACAGUGCUCUUGGUGCUUCUCAUCUGCUUCUUGCUUUGGUUUCAAACGAGUCUUUCUCCGUCAAGACAUUUAUUGUAAUUUCAUUUGGAGACAUCUAUCGUUCAAUAUAUUUCAUAUGCAAGCUGUUAAUAAUUCUGCUUGCAGAAAGCCUACAAAGCAGCUGUGUGAUUUAAUAGAAGACCAUAGUCUCGUCAAUUUUUCAACAUUAGAUAUUCAGUGUCAUAUUUGGCUGCAUCUAGAAGCCACUGCAUCUAGAAGCCUUGAAUAAGCAAAGUUGGCUUUGACAGCCGGCCAAAGAAAAUGUUGAAGAAUUUGGCAGCAGCAAAUUUGGAAUGAAGAAAAAGAAGAAAGAAGAAAAUAGAAGAAUGAAGACGGUGGUAAAAAUAAUAAUUUAAUAGCCAUUUUUUUGGCUAUAAAAGGCAGAGCUCCUCAUUUCAUUUUGUAUCCAAUUCCAUUCAGAGAGCAAUUUAGGGAGUUGAGAGAGAGUUUGAGAGCUUGCAUUUAUAAGCUCUUGUUACAGUGAUUGAGAGAGUUUGGGUGUAUUGGGGUUUUAGGGAAGUGAGCUAAAAUACUACAAUACUUGUAACUCCUUUUCACUAGUAAAAUAUUUCCUUCUGUCUUCGCCCGUGGAUGUAGGCUAAAAGCCGAACCACGUAAUUUCUGGUGUCCUCUAUUGUGCUGGUUCUUUAUUUUUUCUUCCAAUUUCAUUUUAGCUGCGGUCCUACUUCACCCACCAAUUUCCUAACAGUGGUAUCAGAGCCAGGUUGUAUUUUUUGGAGUCGGGAACUGUUCCGGUCCUACUUCACCCACCAAUUUCCUAACAGUGGUAUCAGAGCCAGGUUGUAUUUUUUGGAGUCGGGAACUGUUCACGUAAGGGGUACUAUUCACGUAUACGGCACCGUACACGUAUAUGAAACUAUUCACGUAUACGGUACUGUUCAUAUAUACGGUGUUGUUUACAUAGACUGUACUAUUCACGUAUAUGGUACUAUUCACGUGAAGCGGUGGAAGCGAUCCAAGAAUUUUACGGUGCAACUAUUCAAGGUGGUACACUAACUUGUGUGCAGUAUUUAUCAACAAAAUGGCGGCAAAGUAUGAAAUUGAGAAAUUUAACAACUAUUCAAGGUGGUACACUAACUUGUGUGCAGUAUUUAUCAACAAAAUGGCGGCAAAGUAUGAAAUUGAGAAAUUUAACGGAAAUAAUUUUUCGUUGUGGAAAAUGAAGAUGAAAGCUGUAUUGAGGAAAAAUAAUUGUUUGGCAGCAAUUGGAGAAAGGCCCAUGGAGAUAACUGAUGACAAGUGGAACGAGGUAGACGGCAAUGCCAUUUCUGAUCUACACUUGGCAGUUGCGGAUGGAGUAUUAUCCAGUGUGGCAGAGAAAAAUACGGCGAAGGAAAUAUGGGAUACUCUCACAAAAUUGUAUGAGGCCAAGUCACUACACAACAAAAUUUUCUUGAAGAGAAAACUCUAUAUUCUUCGAAUGACGGAAUCUACAAUGGUGACCGACCACAUCAACACAUUGAAGACUCUAUUUUCACAACUCACAACGUUGGGUCAUAAUAUAGAGGAAAAUGAACGUGCACAGCUUCUACUUCAAAGUCUACCAGAUUCGUAUGAUCAACUCAUCAUCAACUUGACGAACAACAAUCCAGUGGAGAGUCUAGUUUUCGAUGAUGUUGCAGCCUCCGUAUUAAAUGAGGAGAGCAGGCGGAAAAAUAAGGAAAACAGACAAGCAAGUUCGCAGUAAGCAGAAGCGCUAUCGGUGACGAGAGGGAGUUCAACGGAACGUGGCCCCAGUGGGAGUCAAAAUCAGGGUAGAUCAAAAUCCAGAAGUAAGAAGAAUGUUAAAUGCUACAACUGUGGCAAGAAAGGGCAUGUCAAGAAAGAGUGUUGGAGUAACCAGAAGAGAAGAGAGGGCAAAGAACCUGAGUCAUCAAAUGCUCAGGGGUGUGUAGCAAGUACCUCAGAUGAUGGCGAAAUUCUCUACAGUGAGGCAACAACUAUUUCAGAAGGCAGAAAACGACUUUAUGAUGUCUGGCUUAUAGACUCAGGAGCUACCUAGCACAUGACCUCUAGGAGAGAAUGGUUCCACACAUAUGAACCUAUCUCAGGAGGAUCUGUAUAUAUGGGUAACGAUCAUGCCUUGGAGAUCGCUGGUAUUGGUACUAUCAAAAUAAAAAUGUUUGAUGGUACAAUUCGCACAAUUGGGGAGGUACGACAUGUCAACGGCCUGAAGAAAAAUCUAUUGUCUUUGAGACAAAUAGAUAGUCAUGGGUACAAAACUCAUGUGGAGAAUGGAAUUAUGAAGAUCGUUAAAGGCGCGCUUGUAUUGAUGAAGGCAGAAAAGAUCGGUGCUAAUCUAUACAUGCUUAAAGGAGAAACGCUACAGGAGGCAGAUGCGUGUGUCGCAUCAAAUGGAGAAGAGUCAACGAUGAUGUGGCAUCUCAAACUUGGCCACAUGUCAGAACAAGGUUUGAAGAUUCUCUCUGAGCGAAAAUUGCUUCCGGGGCUCAAAUCGGUAAGUUUACCAUUUUGCGAGCAUUGUGUUACAAGUAAGCAGCAUAGAUUAAAAUUCAGUAGAUCUAUUGCUAGAAGUAAAUGCAUUCUAGACUUGAUUCAUUCUGAUGUUUGGGAAUCACCGGAUAUAUCCAUGGGAGGUGCAAAGUACAUGGUGACUUUCAUUGAUGAUUAUUCCAGAAGAUGUUGGGUGUAUCCAAUUAAGAAAAAGUCAGAUGUAUUUCCAGUGUUUAAAGAAUACAAAGCGCGGGUGGAACUUGAAUCUAGUAAAAAGAUCAAGUGCUUAAGGACGGAUAAUGGUGGAGAGUAUACAGACGGCGAGUUUCUUGCUUUCUGUAAGCAAGAAGGUAUUCAGAGGCAGUUCACGGUGGCAUACACUCCUCAACAAAACGGAGUAGCGGAGCGGAUGAACAGAACUCUUACAGAAAGAAUAAGAGCUAUGUUGAGGACUGCUGGUCUACCCAAUUCAUUCUGGGUAGAAGCAGCAAAAACCGCCUGUUAUAUAGUAAAUCGGUCGCCAUCUACAGCUAUUGGGUUGAAGACAGCGAUGGAGAUGUGGACUGGAAAGCCAGCUGAUUAUUCCUACCUACAUGCAUUUGGAUGUCCUAUGUACGUGAUGUACAAUGCCCAAGAAAGAACAAAGCUGGAUGCAAAAUCUAGAAGAUGUAUCUUCUUGGGGUAUGCUGAUGGAGUAAAGGGGUAUCGUCUGUGGGACCCCACUGCCCACAAGAUCGUCAUCAGCAGAGAUGUUAUCUUUGUAGAAGAUCAACUACAAAGAAAAGAUGGAGAUGAUGGCACUGUAAAAGAAAAGUCAGAGACUGUACCAGUAUAUGUCGAAAAUAAUCUAGAAGAUUCAAAUUCUUCUGAAGUAGCACCAGAGCACGAUGAACAAGAACCAGUCGAGUCCGAGGCUCCAGAAGUUCGUCGGUCAACUCGUGAGAGACGACCGCCGGCGUGGCACUCGGAGUAUGUCACAGAGAUCAACGUUGCAUACUGUCUUCUAACAGAGGAUGAAGAGCCUUCAACUUUCCAUGAAGCUUUAAACAGCUCAGAUGUUGCUUUGUGGAUGACAGCAAUGCCGGAAGAAAUUGAAGCUCUACACAAGAACAAGACAUGGGAACUUGUACCACUACCACACGGAAGAAAAGCCAUUGGAAACAAAUGGGUCUACAAGAUCAAACGUGAUGGCAAUGAUCAAGUGGAGCGGUAUCGUGCGAGAUUGGUGGUGAAAGGAUAUGCUCAGAAAGAAGGUAUUGACUUCAACGAAAUAUUUUCUCCGGUGGUUCGACUCACAACAGUCAGAAUAGUCUUGGCGAUGUGUGCUACAUUUGAUCUACAUCUUGAGCAGUUUGAUGUGAAAACUGCAUUUCUUCAUGGAGAACUUGAAGAAGAAAUAUAUAUGCUCCAACCAGAAGGUUUUGCAGAAACAGGAAAUGAGAACUUGGUUUGCAGGUUGAACAAAUCUCUAUACGGUCUCAAACAGGCGCCGAGGUGUUGGUAUAAGAGAUUUGAUUCCUUCAUCAUGAGCCUUGGAUACAACAGACUCAGUUCAGACCAUUGUGCAUAUUACAAGAGGUUUGAAGAUAAUGAUUUCAUUAUUUUGCUAUUGUAUGUGGAUGACAUGUUGGUAGCAGGUCCCAACAAAGAUCGAAUCCAAGAAUUGAAGGCACAGUUGGCUAGGGAGUUUGAAAUGAAGGACUUGGGACCAGCAAACAAGAUUCUAGGGAUGCAAAUUCACCGAGACAGAAAUAAUAGGAAGAUUUGGCUUUCUCAGAAAAAUUACUUGAAGAAAAUCUUGCGGCGCUUCAACAUGCAAGAUUGUAAGUCAAUUUCUACCCCACUUCUUGUUAAUUUCAAAUUAUCCUCAAGUAUGUGUCCUAGCAAUAAAGUGGAGAGGAAGGAUAUGUCUCGAGUACCGUAUGCAUCAGCAGUGGGAAGUUUGAUGUUCGCUAUGAUAUGUACUAGACCAGACAUUGCACAAGCAGUGGGAGCAGUCAGUCGAUACAUGGCGAAUCCUGGUGGAGAGCAUUGGAUAGCUGUGAAGAGGAUUCUGAGAUACAUCAGAGGAACCUCAGAUGUUGCAUUAUGUUAUGGAGGAUCAGAGUUUACUGUCAGGGGCUAUGUGGAUUCAGAUUUUGCAGGAGAUCUUGAUAAAAGGAAAUCCACUACUGGUUAUGUGUUUACACUUGCGGGAGCAGCUGUAAGCUGGGUUUCGAAACUGCAGACCGUUGUGGCUUUAUCUACAACAGAAGCAGAGUACAUGGCAGCUACACAAGCUUGCAAGGAAGCUAUUUGGAUACAAAGAUUAUUGGAGGAGCUCGGGCACAAACAACAGAAAAUUUCUGUGUAUUGUGACAGUCAGAGUGCCUUGCACAUUGCAAGGAAUCCAGCCUUUCAUUCCAAGACAAAGCACAUAGGAGUUCAGUAUCACUUCAUUCGUGAAGUAGUGGAAGAUGGAAGUGUGGAUUUGCAGAAAAUCCAUAUGAAGGAGAACCUAGCAGAUGUUUUUACCAAGCCAAUAAAUGCUGACAAGUUUAUCUGGAGUAGAUCCUCUUGUGGCCUAGCAGCAACGUAGGCAACAUGAUUAUGGCGAAGCAUAAAGGAUGGUGUGGAGAUUGAUUGAUUCUCAAUCUAAUCUCCAAGUGGGAGAAUGUCAUAUUUGGCUGCAUCUAGAAGCCACUGCAUCUAGAAGCCUUGAAUAAGCAAAGUUGGCUUUGACAGCCGGCCAAAGAAAAUGUUGAAGAAUUUGGCAGCAGCAAAUUUGGAAUGAAGAAAAAGAAGAAAGAAGAAAAUAGAAGAAUGAAGACGGUGGUAAAAAUAAUAAUUUAAUAGCCAUUUUUUUGGCUAUAAAAGGCAGAGCUCCUCAUUUCAUUUUGUAUCCAAUUCCAUUCAGAGAGCAAUUUAGGGAGUUGAGAGAGAGUUUGAGAGCUUGCAUUUAUAAGCUCUUGUUACAAUGAUUGAGAGAGUUUGGGUGUAUUGGGGUUUUAGGGAAGUGAGCUAAAAUACUACAAUACUUGUAACUCCUUUUCACUAGUAAAAUAUUUCCUUCUGUCUUCGCCCGUGGAUGUAGGCUAAAAGCCGAACCACGUAAUUUCUGGUGUCCUCUAUUGUGCUUGUUCUUUAUUUUUCUCCCAAUUUUACUUUAGCUGCGUGUCUGCUUCACCCACCAAUUUCCUAACAUUCAGCUCAUCAGCUUCUCAUGAAUUCUUUCCUGAGUUUCUUUGAAUUAUUUGUGAUGCAAUAACUUGUGCAUUUGAGAAACUGUUCUCUGGAAUUCUUUCUUGAGUUUCUUUGAAUUAUUUGUGAAUAAGUUGUUAAUCGGCUGCUUCUCUUCAAGAUAAGGAAAGUGUUGCAAACUGGUGAAGCAGCUGAUAGAUAAAAGCAAUGCCAGUGUGGUUGAAUUCAGCAAGAUUGGCGUUCGUGAUGCAAACGAGAUUACAUAGUGGUUAAAAGCAAUAAUCAAUGUUUUAACCAUAAAAACUUCUUUCCACCUAUUUUCGGCCUUGUGAUUCUCAUAUCCAUAGAACUUUUUGGUAAUUUAAUCAUAUUUCAUCGUAUGCAUCUGCAUCUUCUAACCAGUGCGUUUGAGAAACUAAUUUUGCUGUUAGGCAGGUUUCAAGCUUGAUUAAUGUAUUUUUCAUAAAUGUACCAAAGUUAUGUAAACCAAAUAAUAAAAAAUAAAUAAAAGGAAAUGAGUUUAAUAUAACCUCCAUUCCAGCACUAUGCACGUUAAUUGUUCCCCAAGGACUCUCCUGAUUCUUAUUCCCAACCUCCAUGCUCUCAAGAGGAGUUUAGCACCCAUCAAUUUUUACUUUUGAAAACUCGUAAUGGUCUGAUAAAAUUAAACAACAUUAAAAAUGUUACCAGUCAUUAAAUAGUAAUUUAUUUAUUUACUUUGCCACCUAAAGGAAUCCUGCUGUAAAUAGAGGUUAAAAAUUUUAUUAGAUCUACUUACCUUUGUUCAUUCAGCAAACACAUACAAUUUACAACUAGUGAAUCUAUCCGUUGACAAUUGUGGAUUAAAAUUAUAACACCUGAAUUCAAACAUAUUUUACGAAGUUAUGAAUUUGUUCAUACUUCAAAUGAUUUUUUUUCCCCAAGCUAAUAAAGCUACCACAUUGAUCAAAUGACGACGUUGAAGGAAUUGCGUAUUUUUCAAUGUCCUUUUCCAGACACACGUUGGAGAGAGGGAAAGAAGAAGACUGGCUUAAUUAAGAUAUCUCACAAAGAUUAUUGAGUUAAAAUGUUAUUGUAAAAGAUGUUUAAUACGAUAAUAGUACUUCUUUUGCAUUGUUAUAAUAAGGUUGGUAGGUUUCCCCAGAGGAUGGAUCUGGCUCGCUAGUCUCCAUUUGGGAAGAUGCUAAUUAUCGGCCAUAAAAAAGUCAAGGGGUUGUGGCUCUUCUGUGGCCCAGAAAUUCCUAAUCUCAUAUCUCAAACUUGGGCAUUAUGUAAAUAUGUAUUUUUGAGAAUUAAACUAUUGCGUAGAAAAAUUUUGAGCCAUUGUAAUCAUUUUAUUUUGCUAAGAGAAAAUUUUACUUUGUGUUUCGAUUUGACUUUUGUUUUGUUUGUGAUAAUAAGAUUCAUACCAAUGUGAUUACACACCUAUCAUGCUUCUAUUUUCAUUUGCUUGUCAUGAUAGAUCAACAUGCUCAAAAAUAUUUAUUUAGGUUGGAAAUAUUUGAAUCCACUAAAAUACUAUACAAACCCAUUUUAAAAUUUUAAAAAAAAUGAUUAUCAUAAUACUCGUGAAGAUAACGCGAUAUCAUACAUAAAAUAAAAUAUUUCGCAAAAAAGAUAGGAUACAAAUCUUAAGUAAGUGGGUAUAAAAAAUAUUUUAGUGAGUUCAAGUAGCACUAAUGCCCCCUUAUCAAAAAAUAUAUAAAAAUAACUAGUCUGAUUGGGUAUACCGUUGGCUAAACUAAAGUUCUGAAGAUAUAUAUAUAUAUAUAUAUAUUGAUAAUUUAUAAUGUACAUUAUAGAGAAAGAUUUUGAAAGUAAUAUUUUUUUAGUAUUAUUAUAUAAUAUUUUGUAAAAAGUAGAGAGAGUGAGCAAAACCAAAUUAAUUUUCUAACCCCCCUCCUUUAGGAUUUAAACUCAUUUUUUAGUGUCGCCGGCCAUUCAAAUUUUCUAGUUGAAUAGGCUAAAUUGCAUGAAAUUGUGCUAGCUUAGCUUGAUUCUAGAAAUUUCCAGUACACUGUAACACAUUCCCACACUUGUACAUAGCUCGAAAUUCUCUAGAAUUUACUAUAGUAGCGUAACAUGUAGCUUGUACAUAGGUUUUUCUAUAACACUCCAGGCAUUACUAGGCAUGAGAGCUCUCACCAAGCUUUGAGAACUCUCUAGACAUAAAACAUUCUAGCGCAAGCCUACCCUAAAAAUAGGGCAUGAAGCUUGCCAUUCGAGCAUACAACAAGUAAGAACAAUUCAAGCAUACUUGUAAGCUCUCAAACUCUCUUAUACACACUCUUGUGAAUAAUAUAAUUUCCCUUUGGCUAUAUUGUUCUCUCUUCUCUCUAGUUUUUUCGAAAGCAUCAUAACUUAGCUAGUCGAAAAAUUCAAGGCUUACUUUGCAACUAUCUCGUAAAAGUUGUUUAAGUACCACAGGAGUUUGCUGUACAAAAUACUCAUCCCGUGACAUUAGUCAAAUAAAAUUGUUUGAAAGCCACUUACCCGGAUAUUAUUCUUUUAAUAUGCAAUCUUUUAAUAUAAACUUUUGUCUUAAUUUUCUAUCUCCUACGAUAAAUUUUAGAAUUUUAAAAAUUUUAAAAAUUAAUAACUAUUAGAUAGAGCAUUUACUGUUAAAAGAAAUCUAUAUAGAUAUAUAGAUACAUAGUAAUAUAAAAACUUACUACAAUAUAAUGUUUUUAGUUUCUUAUUUUUUCAAGAUAAAAUUCAAAGACACAAGUUAAAUGUUGUGGAAAAUCUUCCACCCAUACAAGAAAUCGUCACAGCUAAAUGCAAACCGAGCUAAAGUAUUAGUUGUUUUAUUACAAUCUCUAAAAAGAUGAGCGAUUCCAAAAUCUUUCUUUGUAACAAUAAGCACUACAGUUCAGCAACUAUCCAAGUCAAAAGCAACUCAAUGUGAGUGCUAAGCUAAAUCAAUUUCAUUAACAAAUUAGAUGCCAAAGAGCAAGGCUUCGUCCUCAAUUAUAUUGACAUUAUCUGAGUAAACUCUAAAUACCACAAUCAACCCCAAAAAACAUGACUAACUAUUGUGUUUAAAAUAAAUUUUUUUUUUUUUAGAUAUCCGUUGGUAGUAUCUCUUUAGAUGAAUAUAGGAGAUAAAAUAAAUAAAUAUUUAUUGUGUAAAUAAAAAUAAAUAAAUUUUUUUGAACGGAAAAAAUUCCCAAGAACUAAAUUGUUCAAACGUUUUUUAACAUCAUGUGUUUCUAAUAAUUUAGGGUUGGGCAUUCAGUUCGGUUUUUACCGAACUGAACAACUAAAUUAAAUUGAAAUUACCCUAUUCGGUUCAAUUGAAUAGACAAAAACUAGAGCUGGCAAAACGGGUCAUCGGGUCGUGUUCAUGUCGUGUCAGUUUCGUAUCGUGUCAAAUUUAGUUCAACCCAAACCCGACCCAUUUAAUAAUCAUGUCAAAAUAUUGAGACCCAAACCCGAUACGGAAAAAUAAUCGGGUCACCCAAUAACCCGCUGAAUAUCUAUAUAUUUAACAAAAGUUACAUCAAAUAUUUACACAUUAUCAUACAUGCGUAUGUACAUACAUAAUUUAUCGAUAUUAUAAAAUAUACAUAUCUACCAAAAUAUUACACAUUUACACUAUUGAGGUUUUAAUUAAUUAUAUAUAUAUAUAAUAUUAUAUAUUAAUAUUAUAAAAUAUACAUAUCUACCAAUAUUUUAUACAUUUACACUAUUGAAACUCUAAAUGUGUUUAAAAUUUUAUAAAUAAAAUAUUGUACUUAUAUUCAUCCUUUUAAAGAAUAUAAAUAAAAGAGAAAAUCAUCUCUAAUAUUUAAGUUUUGAUGACAAAAACCUACAAAUUAUUUUAAAAUAGAAAAUAUAAUCGGGUCAUUAGUCGGGUAAAUGGGUCAAUAAUUUUAACCCUAACCCGACACGGAAAAAAAUCGUGUCGACCCGAACCCGACCCAUUUAAUAAUCGUGUUAAAUUCAACGACCCAUACCCAUUUAUUUGUGUCGUGUUCGUAUCGAGUAAUCGGAUCGUGUCAAAUUUUGCCAGCUCUAACAAAAACCGAACAGUUUAUAUUUUUAUGAAUUGAAUGAUUUGUAUUUUAGUUUAGUUCGGUUCGGUUCUGGAUCUAAACCGAACCGAACCGUAAACCGUAAACUGCCCACCCUUAAAGUUUCCAUUAACCGCCGUUGCAUUGCUCAAAUCACAGUCUCUCGCUUUCAGCUCAGUCAGAGUUUCCAGGUCCAGAGACUUGCCGCUGACUGAGAGCUUUUUAGUAGCAGGUCUACAAAUAAUGGAAUAGAGCUGAUUUAAUGAUUAAUUUAUUUCCUUUUUCAAUUUCUUUUGAUUGCCAUGUAAUCUGGAUAAGUUAAACGUGAAUUGUUUAGUGCAGAUUAAAUGUUCGACGAAUUUCCCGCAAGAAUAUUAAGUUAAAGAGAAAAAAAGAAAACAAUUGAGCGUGAGCGAGAAUGGUGUUUGGCCAAGUGGUGAUUGGUCCGCUCGGCUCGGGAAAGCCCACUUACUGCAAUGGCAUGUCUUAGUUUCUCAGCCUUGUUGGCAGGUAACUUCGUUUCUUGAUUUCAAGCAGCUUUCUCUUUGAUGGCCAAAAAUAUUGAUUUGGGCUUUGCCCUUUAAAUUAAUGUAAGAGCGGUAGGGAAUAAUCGAGUUAUAGUCUUAGCUUUAAGUGAACAUUGAUGAUAACAUGCAUGUGAAGGUUGUAUGUGUUCAGCGGCAAGUUGUAUGCCAAUUUGGUCUAUAUGGUUUUUUUGUUGGUAACUUAUUAAUUUUUAUGCAGGAAGGUUACAGUCAUCAAUUUGGAUCCUGCUAGUGAUAGUUUGUCGUAUCCUUUGUCAGAACCUUUUUACAAAUGCUGUGGUUUGUUGUACUAUAAUUAGUUCAAUCGGAAACUUCCUUGAUGUUAAUAUAGAUAUGAGUGUGCUGUGAAUAUUGAGGACCUCAUUAGACUAAGUGAUGUGAUGAAGGAGCAUUCACUUGGUCCCGAUGGAGGUUAGUCAUCCUAUUGUUGUUUACUCUUUCUUGCUUUAUCACGCAAUGAUAUUCCUUUGCUUUACAAAAAAUUUCAUGAAAUUAACUUCAAUCAAGUGGCUACCUGUUGAGAUUUUAUGGAUAAUGAUUUGGUAGAGUUUAUAUGCCCUCUUCUUUCUUUUUGCAGUGAUAUGUUUGUAUUCAAUGUGCUUGUACUUAUUCUACGAUUUCUAACGUAGGUGUUUUUAUGAUAAACUAGGUCUUGUGUAUUGUAUGGACUAUCUAGAGAAGAUUAUUGACUGGUUGCAGUCGAAAUUGGAACCACUUUUGAAAGGUAAGAAGAGGCCAUUUUGCUUCAUUCUAAUGCCAAUAAUGCUGUCAUGAGACUCAUAAAAAUUGUUAAAACGUUAAUGUUUUUGGUAUUUUGCAGAUCAUUAUCUUCUGUUUGAUUUUCCUGGCCAAGUUGAAUUAUAUUUUCUUCAUUCCAAUGCCAAGAAUGUUAUAUGAGACUCAUAAAGAAGUUAAAUCUCAGGGUAUUGUUACAUCUUACAUAUAUGAAGGGACUCAAAGAGUUGAGAUGAAUUCAUCUUUGUUAUUUUGAUGCCAGAAUUGUGCAAUUCUCAGUUGGUUCCUUUCACAUGCAGUUGACUGCAGUGCAUCUAGUUGAUGCGCAUCUUUGCAGUUGUUUCUAAAGCUGGUACAUUUAAGAUACCUUAAUUUGUCUUUUCAGAAAAUAGUGAAACUACCGGAGACAUUAUGUGAGUUAUAUAAUCUAGAAAAGUUAGAUAUUACUCAUUGUGAGUAUCUUGAAGAAUUACCUGAAGGGAUUGGGAAGUUAAUAAACAUGAGGCAUUUACUAAAUAAAGGUACUAAUUCUUUAAGGUACAUGCCAGUAGGGAUUGGGAGAUUAACGGGUCUUAGGACCUUGGGUGAGUUCCAUGUGAGUGGAAGAGGAGGUGUUGAUGGUAGGAAAGCAUGUAGGCUUGAAUCUCUUAAAAGCUUGGAACACCUUCAAGUAUGUGGUAUAUGUAGACUGGGUGAUGUAUCAGAUGUGGGCGAGGCUAAGCGAUUAGAACUUGACAAAAAGAAAUACCUCUCUUGUUUGAGACUUCGAUUAGAACGAAGACAAUCAACUACUUCUUGAAGCCCUGCGACCACCUCUGGAUUUAAAGGAAUUAGAGAUACAGUUCUACCGAGGCAACACUGUUUUCCCCAGCUGGAUGACGUCAUUAACCAACUUAAAGAGUUUAGAUCUCUCUUUCUGCGAAAAUUGCUAGCAGCUGCCUCCUUUGGGAAAAUUGUCAUCCCUUGAA